CGAACCUGUGUCCCCUGCAUUGGCAGACUCUCAACCAUUGCGCCACCAGGGAAGCCCUUGAGUUAACUUUUGAGUAAGAGGUAAGAAGCGGAUUUAUUUAGAGAGAAACACUCCACGGACAGAGUGUGGGCCACCUCAGAAGAUGAUCCAUUCUAUAGGUGCUUUAAUAUUCCAGAC